AAACUUUCAACAACGGAUCUCUUGGUUCUGGCAUCGAUGAAGAACGCAGCGAAAUGCGAUAAGUAGUGUGAAUUGCAGAAUUCAGUGAAUCAUCGAAUCUUUGAACGCACAUUGCGCCCCUCCUCUGGGGGGGCAUGCCUGUUCGAGCGUCAUUU
rnacentral:rRNA from 1 species